AUGGCCUCCUCCGUGUUAAAUCCACUGCUGAGGCAGCUUCCUGUCUUUUCGACCUUCCGAAGUGCCUACGGAGUUCAGGUUCCCAUUCAGAGUCUUUGCACCAAAAAUCUCCCCGAGAAAGAUUCUUCACCCCCAGUUCCUACUUCCCCUUAUAAAGAUGAACCCUGGAAAUACCUGGAAUCAGAAGAAUACCAGAACCGCUAUGGUUCUCGCCCUGUCUGGGCUGACAACCGCCACAACCACAAAGGUGGUAUACCCCCACAGAGGACUCGAAAGACAUGUAUUCGUAGGAAUAAAGUUGCUGAGAAUCCUUGCCCCAUCUUCCGGGAUCACAAGUUGCAUGUUGACGUUAGGAACGUGAAGCCGUUGGAACAGUUUGUCUGUACCCACACAGGUAUCAUCUUCCACGCUCCAUACACAGGUGUCUGUAUGAAGCAGCACAAGAAGUUGACCCAGGCUAUCCAGAAAGCCAACGAUCAUGAUCUCCUUAGUUACCAUAUUCCAAGGUUGCACCCCCGGGACCUUGACUUCAAUACCUCUCAUGGAGCUAUGAGUGCUACUCCGCCAGCCCCCAACCUGGUUUCGGGGGACCCUUGGUACCCCAUGGUACAGCUGGGAACAGCCAUCAGAGAGAGAAUUGUCCUGCAUUUGCCGCCGUUAUCUGGGUCAUCUCCAAGAAGAGAGUGGCCCUCCACUCUAGUCAAUGCCUGAGGUGCCCCCACAACACCAGUUGAAGCUUCCUUUACUGAGCAGACCAGUCCCCAGAGUGCUUCAUAG